rnacentral:rRNA from 1 species
AUUGAACGCUGGCGGCAUGCCUAACACAUGCAAGUCGAACGAGUGGCGGACGGGUGAGUAAUGUCUGGGAACCUGCCUGAUGGCGGGGGAUAACUACUGGAAACGGUGGCUAAUACCGCAUACCAUCAGAUGUGCCCAGAUGGGAUUAGCUAGUUGGUGGGGUAACGGCUCACCAAGGCGACGAUCCCUAGCUGGUCUGAGAGGAUGACCAGCCACACUGGGACUGAGACACGGCCCAGACUCCUACGGGAGGCAGCAGUGGGGAAUAUUGGACAAUGGGGGAAAUCCUGAUGCAGCCAUGCCGCGUGUAUGAUGAAGGCCUUCGGGUUGUAAAGUACUUUCGGCGGGGAGGCGUUACCUGCAGAAGAAGCACCGGCUAACUCCGUGCCAGCAGCCGCGGUAAUAC